CUCUUUUAUGCGCAACGCACAUUCACGAUUUUCGAGAUCGUGUCGGUGCACACAAAAAAGCCGAGAGAAUUGUUUACACAACUUCGUGCCUCUCUCAAUGGCUUCGAGACAACAACAAUUCGUGCCACCAUCGAAUAUCAACGAAGACGGUCUCUUCACAUUGAGUCAAACAUUCAAUUCGUAAACAGUCGUAUGGAUGGGAAUAGCGCGCGGUUAUUAUGUGCAUUAAUAAACCGUCUCGGUGUUUUUUUUCUUGAAUGACUUCAAAAAAAAAGUGAAAUUCGUUUAUUUAUUCUAUAAACCAGAGUUGAUAUAAAGUAAUAAAUGGCGCCGAUGGAAGAGUAAAUUAUUAAAUUAAAUUGUUGUGAAAAUAUAGCACCAAAACAACGUAAGAAAAAAAAGUUCAUUGUGUUAAAAAUUACCAAAGUAAAAACAAAUGAAUCUUGCGGUUAGAAUUCGUCGAAAUUAAACCGGUUUAUUAUAUUGUGAAAACUGUGAAACAGAACUAAAAGAUUAGUUCAAAUUAGUGUGUAUCGUAUUAGAUUGCCAAUCUAAUGAAAUCAUCGUCGUUUAUAAUUGGAUUAGAAGCUGAGCUCUUAUGGAUUAAUACUUAUCUGAAUGUACAAGAUGUCGAAUUAUGUUGCAUUAAGUAAUUACUUAUGAAACAUGUUCUAAAUUGUGGAUUAUGUGGUUUUACCAAUGAAAGAGAGACGAAAAAGUGAAUAAAAAAAAAAUUAUAUUUCAAAUUAAAAUUCCAACGAAUUGAACGCAGAAGAAAGAAAGAAGAAAAAAAAUGGUGAAGAAGGUUGUGGGUUUUUAAUCGCAUAAUUAAUAAUUUUAAAAAGUGCUAUACAGUGGUAUACCUAAUGAGAAAUCCAACGAUUUUAGAAAUGUAAAGGCAUUAAAAAAAAUUGAAAUAAAAGUUUUUUCCAAAAAGAAAAAACAACAAAAAUUCAAUAAAGUGUUAACAAAGCAAUAAAAAAUUUGUAAUAAGCGGUGAAUUAGUGCAAUAUAAUUUUAAAAUUGAUUAAUCAAUAUUGUGACAUAGCCGCACCACUCGGAAGAAGUGUGGAAAAAAAAAGAAAUGAACAACUGAUUUCAUCCAGGGUAUUUUUGAUUGAGAAACGAGAGAAGAAGAAAGAAAAGAAAAUUUGUCAGAAGUUUGAUUGUGUUUUUGUUCUUUGUGAAGAAACUCAAUUUUCAAUUACUUUAAUCUAAGAAGGGUGCCCUUCUCUUUACGAGGGGUACUUUUCACGUAUAACCAUUGCGAUCAUAGUACGUGUGGAACCCUCCGGCACCCCGCAGGACUCUGCGGGGCCACAGAGCCCGAAAAAACUGGGCGCUCAUCAGCCUCCAGUUAAGCAGGUAUGUAAUCAUCGUUAAUUCCAUUUAUAAUGUUUAUUGCACGAUAAGCUAUAUUUAUAAACACACUUAACAACUUUUCUCUCUGACAUACCAACACGUGAUGGGUAAGUUGCGGUUGUAAAAAAAGUAUUAAAAAAAUGUGUGUAAAUAAAAAAGCUAUCAUUAAUAUAAAAUAUUAUGUUUGUUGAAACCAUAAAAUACAAUAAAUAAUAAAAUAAACGUCAGUCAGUUUUAUGAUUACGGCUUGUCAUUAAAACCAAACCGAAAAUAAAUAAAAAAAAUGGUUUUGCGAGAGAUUGUUAGAUAAUAAAACAUUGUUUUUACGU